ensembl:snRNA U6 U6 spliceosomal RNA
CUGCUUCAGUAGCACAUACACAAAAAUUGGAAGGAUACAGAGAUUAGCAUGGCUCCUGAUCUAGGAUGACAUACAAAUUUGUGAAGCCUUCCGUAUUUUU